GGAGACGUGGCCGAGUGGUCGAAGGCACUCCCCUGCUAAGGGAGCAUAUAGUUUAAAGCUGUAUCAAGGGUUCGAAUCCCUUCGUCUCCGCCA
rnacentral:tRNA from 1 species